AUGUUGCUGCCUCUGGGUCCCAGUGUGACUCCUGCCUGGCAGGCUGGCGGAGCGCGAUGCCCCGAUCGCAACGUGGAAGAGGAAACGGAGCUGGCGACGGCCUGCAGGACGCUGCGUUCGCACGCUGACUCCUUUCUUCGAUGCGCGGAGGUGGACAUGAGAGGCCUCCCUCUCUCCGCAGACGUCGGCGGGCAGCCGGCCUUUUUGGACCAGGAUCGCGCGGCGCCGCCGGGGGAUGGGGACGGCUGGUGGGAGGCGGACCGGACGGCCGGCGCGGCGGAGGACCUGCUCUCCCUGAUGAGAGAGGUGCAAUGCGGUGCGGGGUUCCCCGAAGACGUUGCUCAUUUACUUUCUCACGCCGACGUCGGCGAUCCCCCUUUGUCCUCGGGCGCGGGUCACGGCGUGCCGUCGGGCCUUGCAGAACUUUUUUUUACCACAACUCGCAGCACCGAGGACUCGCAGGAGGAUGGCGAGGUGGAGGCGAGCGUGGAGACGCAAUGGGGUGUAAGGAUGCAGGAUGUGGAUCAGGACCCGUUCAUCUGCCCCGACCUGGGAGAAAUACCAGGUUAGUGGAGCUUUAUAAACCCGUCUGGACUCUGGAACCGUUCCACAUGAGUCGUCGAGCUACUGCUUCGACCUCAUUUCACACCUCAAGUACUGAAUAAAAGACGCGAGAGCCAACUGUGCCAAGUGUUUUGACCAGUGAUGCGUAUUAUUUGUGUUUUAGAUGAUUUAUCUGAAUACCUGAACGACGAUUACCUUGGGAAGUUUGUGGGUAGGUUGCAACCAGACCUCCCUCCCAUUCAGUGUGUAAUAUAUAUACGGCUUACACACACACACACACACGUAUGAACACAUGAAUGAACAGAGGGGUGAUCGAGUGUCUGCUCCUCUGCACACAGUUCCUUACCUGGACACGGAUGUGCUCUUCAAUGACCCAUCGCUGGAGUGUGAGGAGGAACUCAGCACCUGCAGUAAGGAGCUCUGCUUUCUGUUUCCUCAUUUCACGACCAACAAGCAAUCAAUAUGAACCAAGGAGGAAUGUGAAAGACCUUCUUUAGAUUGUGUUCAUCAAAGAAGGGCAGAUUCCAUAUCACCUAUAAUUAUUUCAUUUAAUUAUUUCUGGUUUUU
ensembl:lncRNA